rnacentral:lncRNA from 1 species
AGUUUGGCUAAAGUCAGUUGUCAAUAUCUGGAGGGAUUCGAAUUGGAUCAGAUCCUGGCACACAACAUUCUAAGUCUGAGACUAAAGCAUUCUCCUUCAUCCUCCUGCUUUUUGGAACAAUCAAAAGUAGCGACUCUGAGGUUCCAUGGCAAUCGUGAGUUUCCCGUGAAGAAGCUCCUCUCUCCCAUCCUUGACUCACAGAACCACAGACCUUCAGAAUCCCGCUCCCGUUAUUUCAGUUCACAGUGUAACUAGAGACACAGAAUACCUCUUCCCAACCCGAAGAUGCUAAGGAGAGAAGACUGGCACUUUUUGAAAGAAGCUUAACUGAAGCCUUAUAAGGAAUAAAUUCAAAUCUCUGGCCA